GACGAACGCUGGCGGCGUGCCUAACACAUGCAAGUCGAACGAAGCUUGACGAAUGAUUUCUUCGGGAUGAAAUCUGAUAUGACUGAGUGGCGGACGGGUGAGUAACGCGUGAGCAACCUGCCCUUCGGAACGGGAUAGUGUCUGGAAACGGACAGUAAUACCGUAUAACGUAUUUUUACCGCAUGAUAGAAAUACCAAAACUGAGGUGCCGAAGGAUGGGCUCGCGUCUGAUUAGAUAGUUGGUGGGGUAACGGCCUACCAAGUCGACGAUCAGUAGCCGGACUGAGAGGUUGAACGGCCACAUUGGGACUGAGACACGGCCCAGACUCCUACGGGAGGCAGCAGUGGGGAAUAUUGCACAAUGGGGGAAACCCUGAUGCAGCAACGCCGCGUGAAGGAAGACGGUUUUCGGAUUGUAAACUUCUGUUCUUAGUGAAGAAUAAUGACGGUAGCUAAGGAGCAAG
rnacentral:rRNA from 1 species